GAGUUGGUUUCUUCCUACAGUGCUGGACACAGGACAAGGCUUUAAACUUGUCAAAUCUUAAUGUGGACAUCAAGGAAGGCUAUUAUUGAGAGUUCAUGUUACCAUUUAUCAGUAACUUGCCAUUUUUUGUAUGCUGUAUUUUUAUUUGUGGAAAGUAUCUUGCUACAUUUGUAGCUGUUCUCACUUUGUCUUUUCUUAAGUAAUUAUGGGAUGUGGAAGAUAUUGGGAAUAUGCAUGAUUUUAUACUAAAAGUAUAUGGAGGGUCAUGAAAAUGCUGAAUGUAAAUGUGUAAGAGAUGUUAAAAGUAACAGUGCACUUUCAAAUAACUUUCCAUUUGUCUCCAAUGAAAAGAAACACAGUUGUCUGUGCUCUGGAGUGGCCAAUGGACAAUUCCUAAUGCCUUAUUUUCUAGGCACCCGUUAGAGAAUGUAGACCAGACAAGUGUGUUUUAAGAGAACUACCAGUUUACUUAGUAGGAGAUUCUUUCAUGUGUGUGAUUCAUAUAGGUUUGGCCCCAGGACUGUUUGCAGAAGUAUAAAUACUUGGAGCAGGAAGAGACCUGCUCAUAAUGACUGCAAAAUGCCCUUUUACCACCACACCCAGAUGUCUUGGCUAUGACCUUUACAGUACAGCAGAAAAGCCCCAACUGCCUUUGAGAUGAAAGCAUUGUUAAUGUAGGUAACAAUAAGAGCUUACAUGCUACAAAGUGUUCCUUCAUGGUUAGUGAGGGACUUUGAAAAUACUGGUAAAUUUAAGAGUCCUUCUCAGGGUAAUUUUGUUUUCUUAAUGAGUAGUAUUUCCAGCUACAAAUUCCUUUCAAGUAAAUUGCCAUUCUUUUCAAAAAGUACACACUUACAAAAAUAAAUGUAUCAGUUUCUCAUUGACCGAUUCUUCCUGUCUUACGUAUUUAUGAGGAGUUAGUACUCUGCCAUGAAAGUUGCUUUUCAGUCCUAUUGUAAUAACUUUUUUCUGCUGAAGGUCAAGGAUGGGAACAGAUCAUUUUGUUGUUGUUGUUGUUAUAUACCUGUAUUGUAUUAUGUAAAAAAGUAUUCAUUUUGGCAGUUUUAGGUAAGCAUAAUGGUAUGGUUGUAAUUUGUAAACUUUAAUUCAGUGUUUUGUUGGAGUAAAGUAGGCGCUGAUCAGGAUAUCUCCUUAAGAGGUAAGUCACUUCCUGUCCCCUUCCAAUUAUCCUUACAUUCUAGAUUUUCAUCUUUGAAAGAGGGAGGUAUAAUUAAAGUGGAGAUUAGACUUUGUUACCAUGGUGACUUCUCACCGUUGAAGCCAUUUUUCCAUGCCCAGAGAGGGAAGGUAACGGAUGCAUCUACCAUUUUCUACCAAUGACUUGAAAACUGACAUUUUAUUUAGAAAGAAGUCACACCAUCAGGGAACUUGUAUACUGUUAUCUAUGCAGCAUUGCUACAGCCUAUUUCUAUGUUUUGAAUAUUGUACUCUUAAUACUUUGAAUAAUAUUUUGUUAAAAAUUAAUUUUUCAUUUAAUGUGAAAUUAAGAGUUCCUGAAUAUUUUACUGUAUUAAAAGUGGAAGUUAUACAAAAUGCCUUUGCUUUUAGAGUUUAUGUUUGGUGGCAUGUUGAUUUGAAAAUAUUUCCUUAUUCCAGAAUACUGAAGAAUUGAUACAAUAUUGAAAGUUAGUGGCAUCCUAUAUACAAUAUUUUUUUUAAAAAAUGAAUCUUGUUUUACAACUAGAAAUACAGAUAGUAAAUUUCACUGAAUAAAUCAUUCAUUUGUGUGCAUCUUGAAUUUCAGAUGGGUGCCAUUUCACAUCAGUUUUGUAUAAUUUUUAGGUUCUUCAGGUCCACAAUUAAAUAAGGAAACUAGCGUUGAGAUGUUACCUUGCUGUGCACAUAUCUGUGUAUCAGGAGCUAGGCUCCCCUACCUAAGUGGAAAGGCAUUGCUCUCUCUAGCUCUAAUCCUACAAUUCCUUUCUUCCUUUCCAUAUGAAACAACUCUAUACACAGCCAUGGGUAUUGUCUAUGAUCUAAUUAUUCUAAGUAUUUUUCUGUGAUUGAUUUUAUUACACCUUCCCAAAUGCUCUUAAUAAUUUAACAUAGAAAUUUGUAUUUUAUAAAUUAUGAAACUAAGGCAGUGGACUCUUACAAAAAUGACAGAAUAAUAAACUGCUCUGAAG
rnacentral:lncRNA from 1 species